rnacentral:rRNA from 2 species
UACGUAGGGUGCGAGCGUUAAUCGGAAUUACUGGGCGUAAAGCGUGCGCAGGCGGUUGUGCAAGACAGAUGUGAAAUCCCCGGGCUUAACCUGGGAACUGCAUUUGUGACUGCACGGCUAGAGUGCGGCAGAGGGGAGUGGAAUUCCGCGUGUAGCAGUGAAAUGCGUAGAUAUGCGGAGGAACACCGAUGGCGAAGGCAGCUCCCUGGGCCUGCACUGACGCUCAUGCACGAAAGCGUGGGGAGCAAAC